GGGGAUGUAGCUCAAAUGGUAGAGCACUCGCUAAGCAUGUGAGAGGUAUGGGGAUUGAUACCCCGCAUCUCCA
rnacentral:tRNA from 1 species